GGUUCCCCCCUGGGUUAGUUCCCACCGCCCGUAAAACGAUGAGUACUUAGGGUGUCGGGGGGGUCGAAAUCUCGGUGCCGCAGUUAACACAUUUAAGUAUUUCCCGCCUGGGGGAGUACGGGUCGCAAGACUGAAAACUCAAAAGGAAUUGACGGGGGACCCGCACAAAGCAGCGGAGCAUGUGGUUUAAUUCGAAGCAACGCGAAGAACCUUACCAAAUCUUGACAUCCUUUUGACCAUCAUUUAAUCAUGAUCUCUCUUCGGAGCAGAAGUGACAGGUGGUGCAUGGUUGUCGUCAGCUCGUGUCGUGAGAUGUUGGGUUAAGUCCCGCAACGAGCGCAACCCUUGUCUUUAGUUGUCAUCAGGUAAUGCUGGACCCUCUAAAGAGACUGCCGGUGAUAAACCGGAGGAAGGUGGGGAUGACGUCAAAUCAUCAUGCCCCUUAUGAUUUGGGCUACGCACGUGCUACAAUGGUCGGUACAACAGGCAGCGAAAGGGUAACCUGGAGCGAAUCCUCUAAAGCCGAUCUCAGUUCGGAUUGUGGGCUGCAACUCGCCCACAUGAAGUUGGAGUUGCUAGUAAUCGUGAAUCAGAAUGUCGCGGUGAAUGCAUUCCCGGGUCUUGUACACACCGCCCGUCACACCAUGGAAGUUGGGGGCGCCCGAAGCCAGUGAUCCAACCGCAAGGAGGAAGCUUUUGAGGGGGGAAACCAAUGACUAGGGUGAAGUCUUUUUCAGGGGAACCG
rnacentral:rRNA from 1 species